GGUGCAUGGUUGUCGUCAGCUCGUGUCGUGAGAUGUUGGGUUAAGUCCCGCAACGAGCGCAACCCUCGACCUUAGUUGCCAGCAUUCAGUUGGGCACUCUAAGGUGACUGCCGGCUAAAAGUCGGAGGAAGGUGGGGAUGACGUCAAAUCAUCAUGCCCCUUAUGACCUGGGCUACACACGUGCUACAAUGGCCGGCACAGAGGGCAGCUACCUGGUGACAGGAUGCUAAUCUCGAAAAACCGGUCUCAGUUCGGAUCGAAGUCUGCAACUCGACUUCGUGAAGCUGGAUUCGCUAGUAAUCGCGCAUCAGCCAUGGCGCGGUGAAUACGUUCCCGGGCCUU
rnacentral:rRNA from 1 species